AUGUCUUGCACUAAACUCAUAUCGCUUACCCUGGUUGUCCUCUUUAGCAUUGGAUUAGCAAGCGCUGGUAGGGUAUCUAGAUACUCUAGUUCCCAGGGAACAGGCACCGGCGGGGGAGAGGGUGGAGGAGCGGUGAACGGCGGCGGCGGAGGAAGCGGGAAUGGCCAGGGAACUGCUCAGAGUGGAAGUGGAGGAACCCAUGCAAGUGCUGGAGGAGGCGGCGGCGGGGGUGGUUGGUCAGGGUUUAAUGGUGCUGGGUAUGGUGCUGGGUCCGGUAGCGGCUCAAGCUCUGGCCAGAUGAGCCAAGGAUCAUCAAAUUAUGGUGGUGAUGGUGGGAGUACAAGUGCAGGUGGUUCCGGUGGCGGCGGCGGUGGUGGAGAGGCGGACGACGAUGACGACUGCCCUGCUGACCCCAGUGGCUUUGGGACAGGUGGCGGCACCGGAUCUGGAUCCAGCGAGGCGAAUAAUGAUGGUGAUGCCUCCUACACAAAUGCAAAUGCUUCUGGUAAUGGUGGCGGCGAGGGCGGUGGUAAAAAUGGUGGAACCGGUGGUGGCACAGGCAGUGGAAACGGAUACGGUGACGCAAACCCUUGA
rnacentral:rRNA from 1 species